rnacentral:rRNA from 1 species
GAACCCCCCACCCUUGUCCACUUCUACCUUUGUUGCCUCGGCGGGUCCGCCCGCCAGAGGACCACAACCAAAACUCUUGUUAAGAAACAACGUCCUGUCUGAGCUAUAGCAAAAGCAAUAGUUUAAAACUUUCAACAACGGAUCUCUUGGUUCUGGCAUCGAUGAAGAACGCAGCGAAAUGCGAUAAGUAGUGUGAAUUGCAGAAUUCAGUGAAUCAUCGAAUCUUUGAACGCACAUUGCGCCCCUUGGUAUCCCGAGGGGCAUGCCUGUUCGAGCGUCAUUAUCACCACUCAAGCCUGGCUUGGUGUUGGGUGCCGCCCCGCCCUCUGCGGCGCGGGCGCUCCCUAAAACUAUCGGCGGUGCAGCACCGGCUUCGAGCGUAGCAGACCUUCGCUUUCUGGGGCCCGGUGCGGCAGCGGCCGCGACGACACAACCUCUAGGUUGACCUCGGAUCAGGUAGGGAUACCCGCUGAACUUAAGCAUAUCAAUAAGCGGAGGA